rnacentral:piRNA from 1 species
UGCUAGAGGUAGGGGCCCGAA